AGAGAGAGACAUGCGCGCAUAUCAAUAAGCGGAGGAAAAGAAACUAACAAGGAUUCCCUUAGUAACGGCGAGUGAAGCGGGAAGAGCUCAAAUUUGAAAUCUUCAAGGUUCUACCUUGACGAAUUGUAGUUUAUAGAAGUGUUUUCUGUUAGUGGAGUGGCAAAAGUUCUUUGGAAUAGGACAUCAUAGAGGGUGAGAAUCCCGUAUUUGGUCAUUCCUCCUAGCGUUGUGACACACUUUCAACGAGUCGGAUUGUUUGGGAAUGCAGUCCAAAAUGGGUGGUAAAUUUCAUCUAAAGCUAAAUAUUGGCGAGAGACCGAUAGCGAACAAGUACCGUGAGGGAAAGAUGAAAAGAACUUUGAAAAGAGAGUUAAACAGUACGUGAAAUUGUCAAAAGGGAAGCGUUUGACACCAGUGUUGUUUUUCCGAAAAUCAAUUACGAAUGUUCUGUUUUUGAGGAGUUAUGACUUCAUCGGCUUGCUCCUUUCUUUACGAAACUUUCUUAAUGCACUUUUCGGUUAACAAGUCAACAUCAAUUUCUUUUGUUGUAAAAGGGUAUGAGGAAGGUGGCUUUCUUUUCGGAGAAAGUGUUUAUAGCCUUGUGCCUCUGCAAUCGGAGAGAUUGAGGUCUGCAGCGUAGAUCCUUCGGGGUUAGAUACGUUUGUGCUAAGUUAUAGCUUUUCAUAGACAACUUGUUGACUAUGUUUAGUCUUGUAGCUUACUCGCUGACGCUAUUUUACCUACGCUUAGGAUGUUGAUAGUCACAGCGUGUAC
rnacentral:rRNA from 1 species